rnacentral:rRNA from 1 species
UUKGGARRARAUUGAUCCUGGCUCAGGAUGAACGCUGGCGGCGUGCCUAAUACAUGCAAGUCGAGCGRAUGGAUUAAGAGCUUGCUCUUAUGAAGUUAGCGGCGGACGGGUGAGUAACACGUGGGUAACCUGCCCAUAAGACUGGGAUAACUCCGGGAAACCGGGGCUAAUACCGGAUAACAUUUUGAACCGCAUGGUUCGAAAUUGAAAGGCGGCUUCGGCUGUCACUUAUGGAUGGACCCGCGUCGCAUUAGCUAGUUGGUGAGGUAACGGCUCACCAAGGCAACGAUGCGUAGCCGACCUGAGAGGGUGAUCGGCCACACUGGGACUGAGACACGGCCCAGACUCCUACGSSAGGCASCAGUAGGGAAUCUUCCGCAAUGGACGAAAGUCUGACGGAGCAACGCCGCGUGAGUGAUGAAGGCUUUCGGGUCGUAAAACUCUGUUGUUAGGGAAGAACAAGUGCUAGUUGAAUAAGCUGGCACCUUGACG